rnacentral:lncRNA from 1 species
CUCCGGCGACCAGCAUCGUUCCAAGGCUUUCCUGGCAAGUUUUCCGGCAGCCCGGGUGAAUCUGCUCUCUUGCGUACUCGUAUGUCCAGAAGUAAACUCCAUGUGAAGGUGCAUCUCUCAGGACAGUGAUCCAUAGGCCUCGGUAUACACCUUUCAUCCCUUCCUUGUUUACGAUCUCCUUGGCAACGCUGAUCGGUCCUAUCCCACCUCUUUUGUAGCCCUUGUCGCCGGUCAUCUGCAGCUGAAGCUUUAUCUUCACAAGCUCGACCGGGCUUAGUAUCAGACUCUGCAAGGCGCCCGUUCCAACUCCACUCAGCGCAACACUUGUAUAGGAAGGGGGUUCGUUCAUGCUCUUGGAAUCAAAAGC